rnacentral:rRNA from 1 species
GAUGAACGCUGGCGGCGUGCCUAAUACAUGCAAGUCGAGCGAACGGACGAGAAGCUUGCUUCUCUGAUGUUAGCGGCGGACGGGUGAGUAACACGUGGAUAACCUACCUAUAAGACUGGGAUAACUUCGGGAAACCGGAGCUAAUACCGGAUAAUAUUUUGAACCGCAUGGUUCAAAAGUGAAAGACGGUCUUGCUGUCACUUAUAGAUGGAUCCGCGCUGCAUUAGCUAGUUGGUAAGGUAACGGCUUACCAAGGCAACGAUGCAUAGCCGACCUGAGAGGGUGAUCGGCCACACUGGAACUGAGACACGGUCCAGACUCCUACGGGAGGCAGCAGUAGGGAAUCUUCCGCAAUGGGCGAAAGCCUGACGGAGCAACGCCGCGUGAGUUAUGAAGGUCUUCGGAUCUUAAAACUCUGUUAUGAGGGAAGAACAUAUGUGUAAGUAACUGUGCACAGCUUGACGGUACCUAAUCAGAAAGCCACGGCUAACUACGUG